UAAAAUAUCUUACCGAGAAAAUCCUGUUACCUGGAAGCCUAAACCCAGAUGUGUGCUUAGGCCUUCUCUUUCCAUAAAGUAAUGUCAACUUUUGUUUCACUCACCCAGGAGGAGCCCACUGAGGAGCCCCAGGAAUUUAUCUGCCUGGUACCAUCGGUUGGAUCUGGCAACGCCGUUUGCCAAGAGGAGAAACCAGAGCACAAAAUGGAGCCGGCUAUAGACAACUGCCGGGAGACUCCAGAGAUCCCUGACACGGAC